ensembl:lncRNA
AUCAGAUGUAUGUAAUGCCCUAAAAAGUCAGAUUAAAAGACUAGAUGCAAGUUUAAUAGCUAUAUUUAACCUUUAUUAAUUAAUACAACAUUGAAUAAUGUUACCAUAAAACAUAUCACAAGCCUAUACGCAUUUAUUUAGGGCUUGAUUUGGUUCUGGAGAACCAACCCUUUAUUGUUUAGAUUUUGUAACACUGAUGCAUUCUCUGUUGAGUGCUUUUCAUAUCCUUUCAUUCUUGAGAAGCUCUGAAUCCUGAACCUACAAGAAGGUCUCUGGAGUCCUGCUGCUCCUUGGCCACCAAGUGGCGGUGGAGAGGCUAUAAACCCAUUUGUGCUCCAGCUGUUGCUUUAUCAUAGUGAGAUUGCAUCCAACGCAUUGAGGAAUUCAGAGAGCUGGGGACUUCCUCGUUGCUGCAGACUGUCAUUGUGCCUCUCAAGGAAGGCAAUAGACUGUAUAGUUAUCACCUGAAUAGGAUUAAAUCCCUCCCACAAACUAUACAACCUACUACCUCAUCUCGCCAGGACACAUUCACCUGAAAGACUGACGGAUGAAGGGGGAAUGUCAUUCAGACACACUCAAACAGAUACAGCGAGAGGCGACAACACAAACACACUCACCCUAAAGUACACUUUCACUCAAACACAACAGGCCCCAAUAACCCAAAUAAAGCAUCAGGUGGUCUAACAAAGGAAAUGUUACCCGUUCUCAUUUUGUCCUGCAACAGUCUGUGAAUGGGUGUAAAUGGAGGUGAUAUGCUAUAAUGGGGUAACUUCCCCACAGAGCAGAGACAGGCUGCAUGCAGGUGUCCAGGCUGGGAAGAUGGGUGCGACGGUCAGGGGAGAAUGGUCACUCUUCAGGGUUAUUGACGAUCAGUCUGUCUCCUUAGGAAAGACAGUAGAUUGUAUAGUUAUCUCAGAGGGAGGACAUAUACCCCACAACUAUUCAAUCUACUACCUCAGCCUCAAGGACAGGUGCUUAGUCUGGCGUUGACCCAGAGAUGAGGUUUAGCAGUUCUUACUAGGGAACUGUGGGAGAAAGAGACAGAUAGAGAAAGAGAGCGUUUUGUAUGGUUAGUGGUUGAUCAUUACCGUACAUAAACACAUACGCACACCCUUGCACAUUUGCACUCGUACAAAAGCUCAAAACACAGACACGCACACACGCACACACACACACACACACACACACAAACACACAAACACACAAACACACUACAGGACAGUGCAUGAAGCCAACUUGAAUUAAAAUCAGGCAUUAACAGAAACCCUGCACAUAUCCAGUUUAUUAAAAUGACAUCCCUCGCAAUGGACUGAAGAGGAGGUAGCCUGGUAACAAUUUUAUAGGGAAUUACCUCCAAGGAGCAAUUUCCUCUCUGGUUCUGGCUCUGCUGUUUAAUCCUGGGCCUGGUUCAAAUUCGCCACUACAGAACGAAGCUGUGAAAGCUCG